rnacentral:tRNA from 1 species
CGAUAGGAAGUUUAUAGGAAUAAAGAGUUUGGGGCUUUGAGGGUGUUUAUCGA